rnacentral:rRNA from 1 species
GACGAACGCUGGCGGCGUGCUUAACACAUGCAAGUCGAGCGGUAAGGCUCCUUCGGGAGUACACGAGCGGCGAACGGGUGAGUAACACGUGAGCAACCUGCCCUUCUCAUCGGAAUAAGCGUUGGAAACGACGUCUAAUGCCGAAUAUGACAACGGAUCGCAUGAUCUGUUGUGGAAAGCUCCGGCGGAGAAGGAUGGGCUCGCGGCCUAUCAGCUUGUUGGUGGGGUAACGGCCCACCAAGGCGACGACGGGUAGCCGGCCUGAGAGGGUGACCGGCCACACUGGGACUGAGACACGGCCCAGACUCCUACGGGAGGCAGCAGUGGGGAAUAUUGGACAAUGGGCGCAAGCCUGAUCCAGCAACGCCGCGUGAGGGAUGACGGCCUUCGGGUUGUAAACCUCUUUCAGCAGGGACGAAGCGAAAGUGACGGUACCUGCAGAAGAAGGACCGGCCAACUACGUCCCAGCAGCCGCAGUAACAC